AGGUGACCCUCUGCCUUUGUCACUCUCUGAACUGCGGGUUCUGAAACAUCUGCAAGAAGGAUCCCAGGGCACCACGGAAGUUGGAAAAUGGGACUGUUGACAUUCAGGGAUGUGGCCAUAGAAUUCUCUGUGGAUGAGUGGGCGUGUCUUGACAAUGCUCAGCGGAAUUUGUAUAGGGGUGUGAUGUUUGACAACUACAGAAAUUUGGUCUUCGUGGGUCUUGCUGCCUCUAAGCCAGACCUGAUCACCUGUCUGGAGCAAAGAAAAGAGCCCUGGAAUGUGACAGACAAGUGAUCAGUAGCCAAACACCCAGGUAAGUGGGAGUGAAUGAAGCAGGUGACACAGAGAGAGAGGUCCAAAGUUCAAGGAGGAAGCCAGACCUUAAAAAGUGCUUUGGAAAACUCUGCUUCGAUGGAAAUGGUUUCUAGGAAGUCUUGGUUUCUUUCUCUUAAUCUUUGAUAGAGUCUUUGCUGUCCCUUAUUCUUAAAUUAUCUAAGGACUUUAUGUCCAUUCAGUGUUGUU